rnacentral:rRNA from 1 species
CGGCGGACGGCUGAGUAACGCGUAGGAACGUACCCCAAAGUGAGGGAUAAGCACCAGAAAUGGUGUCUAAUACCGCAUGUGGUCUUCGGAUUAAAGCUUUAUGCGCUUUGGGAACGGCCUGCGUCUGAUUAGCUUGUUGGUGAGGUAAUAGCUCACCAAGGCGACGAUCAGUAGCUGGUCUGAGAGGAUGACCAGCCAGACUGGGACUGAGAACGGCCCAG